AACGCACAUUGCGCCCCCUGGUAUUCCGGGGGGCAUGCCUGUUCGAGCGUCAUUACAACCCUCAAGCUCUGCUUGGUAUUGGGCCCCGCCAGUCCUGGCAGGCCUUAAAAUCAGUGGCGGUGCCAUUCGGCUUCAAGCGUAGUAAUUCUUCUCGCUUUGGAGACCCGGGUGUGUGCUUGCCAGCAACCCCCAAUUUUUUCAGGUUGACCUCGGAUCAGGUAGGGAUACCCGCUGAACUUAA
rnacentral:misc_RNA from 1 species